UACAGAGGGGGCAAGCGUUAUUCGGAAUUAUUGGGCGUAAAGGGCGCGUAGGCGGCCUGGCAAGUGGAAGGUGAAAUCCCUCGGCUUAACCGAGGAACUGCCCUCCAAACUGCUUGGCUUGAGACCGGGAGAGGUGAGUGGAAUUCCCAGUGUAGCGGUGAAAUGCGUAGAUAUUGGGAGGAACACCAGUGGCGAAGGCGGCUCACUGGACCGGUACUGACGCUGAGGCGCGAAAGCGCGGGGAGCAAACGGG
rnacentral:rRNA from 1 species